AGAACGAACGCUGGCGGCGUGCUUAACACAUGCAAGUCGAACGCGAAAGUUUUCUUCGGAAAACGAGUAGAGUGGCGCACGGGUGAGUAACGCGUAAGUAAUCUACCCUGGUAUCUGGGAUAACCCACCGAAAGGUGUGCUAAUACCGGAUACGCUGAUUUAUCAGGAAAGGUGGCCUCUUCAUGAAAGCUACUGUACCAGGAGGAGCUUGCGUACCAUUAGCUAGUUGGUAGGGUAAUGGCCUACCAAGGCGACGAUGGUUAGCGGGUCUGAGAGGAUGAUCCGCCACACUGGAACUGGAACACGGACCAGACUCCUACGGGAGGCAGCAGUGAGGAAUAUUGCGCAAUGGGGGAAACCCUGACGCAGCGACGCCGCGUGGAUGAUGAAGGCCUUCGGGUCGUAAAAUCCUGUCAGAUGGAAAGAAAUGCAUAUUUAUUAAUACUGAGUAUGUUUGACGGUACCAUCAAAGAAAGCACCGGCUAUCUCCGUGCCAGCAGCCGCGGUAAUACGGAGGGUGCAAGCGUUGUUCGGAAUUACUGGGCGUAAAGCGCGCGUAGGCGGUUUGUUAAGUCAGAUGUGAAAGUCCACGGCUCAACCGUGGAAGUGCAUUUGAAACUGGCAGACUUGAGUACUGGAGGGGGUGGCGGAAUUCCCGGUGUAGAGGUGAAAUUCGUAGAUAUCGGGAGGAAUACCGGUGGCGAAGGCGACCACCUGGCCAGAUACUGACGCUGAGGUGCGAAAGCGUGGGGAGCAAACAGGAUUAGAUACCCUGGUAGUCCACGCCGUAAACGAUGUCAACUAGGUGUUGGGGAGGUUAAUCUUCUCAUUGCCGCAGCUAACGCAUUAAGUUGACCGCCUGGGGAGUACGGUCGCAAGAUUA
rnacentral:rRNA from 1 species